GCAGUCGAACGGUGAAGGCGGAGCUUGCUCUGCUGGAUCAGUGGCGAACGGGUGAGUAACACGUGAGCAAUCUGCCCCUGACUCUGGGAUAAGCGCUGGAAACGGCGUCUAAUACUGGAUACGAGCUGCGAAGGCAUCUUCAGCAGCUGGAAAGAAUUUCGGUCAGGGAUGAGCUCGCGGCCUAUCAGCUUGUUGGUGAGGUAAUGGCUCACCAAGGCGUCGACGGGUAGCCGGCCUGAGAGGGUGACCGGCCACACUGGGACUGAGACACGGCCCAGACUCCUACGGGAGGCAGCAGUGGGGAAUAUUGCACAAUGGGCGCAAGCCUGAUGCAGCAACGCCGCGUGAGGGACGACGGCCUUCGGGUUGUAAACCUCUUUUAGCAGGGAAGAAGCGAAAGUGACGGUACCUGCAGAAAAAGCACCGGCUAACUACGUGCCAGCAGCCGCGGUAAUACGUAGGGUGCAAGCGUUAUCCGGAAUUAUUGGGCGUAAAGAGCUCGUAGGCGGUUUGUCGCGUCUGCCGUGAAAACUGGAGGCUCAACCUCCAGCCUGCGGUGGGUACGGGCAGACUAGAGUGCGGUAGGGGAGAUUGGAAUUCCUGGUGUAGCGGUGGAAUGCGCAGAUAUCAGGAGGAACACCGAUGGCGAAGGCAGAUCUCUGGGCCGUAACUGACGCUGAGGAGCGAAAGGGUGGGGAGCAAACAGGCUUAGAUACCCUGGUAGUCCACCCCGUAAACGUUGGGAACUAGUUGUGGGGUCCAUUCCACGGAUUCCGUGACGCAGCUAACGCAUUAAGUUCCCCGCCUGGGGAGUACGGCCGCAAGGCUAAAACUCAAAGGAAUUGACGGGGACCC
rnacentral:rRNA from 1 species